UGGAUGCCAUUUCGUCGCACCGUCCAAUCAGCUGUAGGGCUAGCCCUCACAUUCCUGAAAUUCCUCGGGAAAUCCCGUACCGGACUGGACUGCCUUGUUGAAUAUAUGACAAGACGAAUCCUUUAGCCAAGGACAGCAGCAGCGUUUAUUUCUUGCAUCUCGUCUCCACCAUUCUUUGGCUAUAUCCUUGCUUCUUUCUAUUUUCCUUUUUUUACCUUUUUUACUUUUUUUUUUUUUUUUUUGCACAACGUGCUUGUUCGAGAUACUCUCUCACCUCACGUUGUUGUCUAAUACAGGCAUCAGAGUUGGCUCUUGUCUCAAAUGCCGACUAGCAUUCGACCGCGACGUUCUUUCCCAGUUUCGCUCAAUCGCUUAUUUCCCUCCAACUGGCUACUACUACUUGACUACUACUACUCUGUCUAUAGCGACCUUUGAUUUCUUAAACUUGCUGAUGUUUUGUGUGACUCUUUUUGGUAACGCGAUUGUUGUGCGCUUGUUGAUUUGAUGGCUCCCCGCUCAAAGAACAUUUCUUUUACCGACAUCUUCGGGAUUACACAUGUCACGACAAUCUGGAUUAAGUAAUCUGUGUUUGACUGCAAGGGGUGAAAUGUAAAUUCCACAUCAACCAGUUCCGAGUGCGUGAUUGGAUUGGGGAAAUUUUUAAUUUGGAAUUCAAACAGAUACGUGCUGCGUAGCCUCUCCUAGGCUUUGUCUUGUGAACGACGGAAUUAUUAUAUUUUCGUCGGGAAAAACUGAAAUUCUAGACAACGUCUCGGAGAGCGCUUCGCAGAGAGUAUUGACUGUCAACAUUCCAGAAGAUUGACUAAUCAUGCGCUUCAAUAAUUCAUUGUCGACCGGUUGAAUUCAACAUGUUGUCCCUUUAGAAAUUAGUUUUGCUUAUUAUUUCGAAAACAAAUAUUGAUGUAUUCAUUCCUGUGUAUCGGCUAGUUGAUAUUAUGCGAAGUAUUUUUUUUUUCAUAAAUUAAAGUAGAUUUGUUUCUUUUUAAAAUGAAAAAAUAUUGUGCAGAGCAUAUUUAUUUUGCUUUAAAUAUUUAGGCAGGUGUUACAAAAUGGAAUAAUUUUUUCUAUGUGAGUUGAUCAUUAUUUGUGGGCAUUUCCGUCCAGUUGGGUACAAUAUACGAGAUUGUGA
rnacentral:lncRNA from 1 species